rnacentral:rRNA from 1 species
CCUACGGGUGGCAGCAGUGGGGAAUAUUGCACAAUGGGGGAAACCCUGAUGCAGCGACGCCGCGUGAGUGAAGAAGUAUCUCGGUACGUAAAGCUCUAUCAGCAGGGAAGAAAAUGACGGUACCUGACUAAGAAGCCCCGGCUAACUACGAGACAGCAGCCGCGGUAAUACGUAGGGGGCAAGCGUUAUCCGGAUUUACUGGGUGUAAAGGGAGCGUAGUCGGCAGCAUAAGUCUGGAGUGAAAUCCCGGGGCUUAACCCCGGAACUGCUUUGGAAACCGUGCGGCUGGAGUGCAGGAGGGGUAAGCGGAAUGCGUAGUGUAGCGGUGAAAUGCGUAGAUAUUAGGAGGAACACCGGUGGCGAAGGCGGCUUACUGGACUGUAACUGACGUUGAGGCUCGAAAGCGUGGGGAGCAAACAGGAUUAGAUACCCUUGUAGUC